GACGAACCGUGCGAACGUUAUUCGGAAUCACUGGGCUUAAAGCGCGUGUAGGCGGAACGGCACGUCCGGUGCUGAAAUCCCUCGGCUCAACCGAGGAACUGGCCCGGAUACGACCGCUCUGGAGGAGCGUAGGGGGACCUGGAACUUCCGGUGGAGCGGUGAAAUGCGUUGAGAUCGGAAGGAACGCCCGUGGCGAAAGCGAGGUCCUGGACGCUUACUGACGCUGAGACGCGAAAGCCAGGGGAGCGAACAGG
rnacentral:rRNA from 1 species